rnacentral:rRNA from 2 species
AGGAAAUUUGAGAGGAGCUGUCCUUAGUACGAGAGGACCGGGAUGGACACACCGCUGGUGUACCAGUUGUUCCGCCAGGAGCAUCGCUGGGUAGCUAUGUGUGGCAGGGAUAAACGCUGAAAGCAUCUAAGCGUGAAGCCCCCCUCAAGAUGAGAUUUCCCAUUUCUUCGGAAAGUAAGAUCCCUGAAAGAUGAUCAGGUAGAUAGGUUUGGAGUGGAAGUGUAGCGAUACAUGGAGCGGACAAAUACUAAUCGAUCGAGGACUUAACCAA